GUUUCAUUUCAGGACUCUUUCAAAUUACUGACUUAAAGGUGUAUUAAGAAAUAAGAAUACAGAAUGUUCUGUCAUGAGUGCGGAGGUAAACUUUUGGGAAAUGCAAAAUUUUGCUCCCAUUGUGGAGCAAAGCUUACAGAAAUCACUGGAGCAUUGGAAAAGACUCAUAUCAGUGGACAGCAGGCGGAUUUUAAAGCCAGUGACAGUGAACCAAUACCUGCUAUAUUACAAAAAACUG